rnacentral:lncRNA from 1 species
ACCAAACACGUGAAUAGACUCCAAAACAUCUUCGUUCACUCUUAUUCUAUAUAUAUAUAUCACUUUUCAUGAUUCGAGAUUCGCUCCCGUGGUUCUUCGAGGCCCGAGCUUUGGCAAUUCUUCAGCGGAUGCAGCGGCCGCCAUUCCAGCGCCACCCUCGAUGGCAGCUGUUGUCAUACCCGUACCAAUCGCAUUGCACGCAGCGAAAUCCAUUCCAGUACCAAGCGCUGCGCCAUCCCCUUGGUGAUGCCCCUGACCUCCACUCCCACCGCUAGGUGUGCCUGGGCCUGGUUUGAUGCUCCAAUCGAGUGUUAUUGCUUGCCGAUCAUUGGAGCAAUUGAUUGGAAGUCGAGGGAUUUGGAGAAGAGAGGAGAAGGACCAAGGACAGAUUCAGACAUUUUAUAUUAAGGCUUGGACAAUUUAUAUUUUAUUCCUGGAACUCAUGCAAUACUAUGCAACAUUGCACGAUACAGAAAACACGUCAUCAGUGUCUUUAUUCUUGUUUCCAGACCCUUGGCACUGCAGAACGAUAAAAUCAAAGGCAAUUACGAUGCUGAUUCUUAACUUGGGCUUACCCCGUGAAACGAGAGGUUUCAGUUGCGCGAGCAGCGAUUGUUGCGCCAGCUCCAACCCCUCUGGCAACGGUGGCAACUGUUGUCAUACCAAUACCACCCCGACUGGCAGCGCUGGGCAGCAGCCUUUGCAAUUCCUCCCACGUCCACGCCCAUGGCCAGCAUCAUCACAAAUAUGGCAAGCGCCAAAAACAACACGAAGAAAGCCUUGUUCUCCAUGAUUUGCUGCUAGAGAAGUAAGCUUGUUAUAUUAGAG